rnacentral:rRNA from 1 species
AAUUACUGGGCGUAAAGCGCACGCAGGCGGUUUGUUAAGUCAGAUGUGAAAUCCCCGGGCUCAACCUGGGAACUGCAUCUGAUACUGGCAAGCUUGAGUCUCGUAGAGGGGGGUAGAAUUCCAGGUGUAGCGGUGAAAUGCGUAGAGAUCUGGAGGAAUACCGGUGGCGAAGGCGGCCCCCUGGACGAAGACUGACGCUCAGGUGCGAAAGCGUGGGGAGCAAACAGGAUUAGAUACCCUGGUAGUCCACGCCGUAAACGAUGUCGACUUGGAGGUUGUGCCCUUGAGGCGUGGCUUCCGGAGCUAACGCGUUAAGUCGACCGCCUGGGGAGUACGGCCGCAAGGUUAAAACUCAAAUGAAUUGACGGGGGCCCGCACAAGCGGUGGAGCAUGUGGUUUAAUUCGAUGCAACGCGAAGAACCUUACCUGGUCUUGACAUCCACGGAAGUUUUCAGAGAUGAGAAUGUGCCUUCGGGAACCGUGAGACAGGUGCUGCAUGGCUGUCGUCAGCUCGUGUUGUGAAAUGUUGGGUUAAGUCCCGCAACGAGCGCAACCCUUAUCCUUUGUUGCCAGCGGUCCGGCCGGGAACUCAAAGGAGACUGCCAGUGAUAAACUGGAGGAAGGUGGGGACGACGUCAAGUCAUCAUGGCCCUUACGACCAGGGCUACACACGUGCUACAAUGGCGCAUACAAAGAGAAGCGACCUCGCGAGAGCAAGCGGACCUCAUAAAGUGCGUCGUAGUCCGGAUUGGAGUCUGCAACUCGACUCCAUGAAGUCGGAAUCGCUAGUAAUCGUGGAUCAGAAUGCCACGGUGAAUACGUUCCCGGGCCUUGUACACACCGCCCGUCACACCAUGGGAGUGGGUUGCAAAAGAAGUAGGUAGCUUAACCUUCGGGAGGGCGCUUACCACUUUGUGAUUCAUGACUGGGGUGAAGUCGUAACAAGGUAACCGUAGGGGAACCUGCGGUUGGAUCACCUCCUU